UACAGAGGUCCCGAGCGUUGUUCGGAUUCAUUGGGCGUAAAGGGUGCGUAGGUGGCGCUGUAAGUGGGGUGUGAAAUCCCGGGGCUUAACCCCGGGACUGCAUUCCAUACUGCGGUGCUUGAGGACUGGAGAGGAGACUGGAAUUUACGGUGUAGCAGUGAAAUGCGUAGAGAUCGUAAGGAAGACCAGUGGCGAAGGCGGGUCUCUGGACAGUUCCUGACACUGAGGCACGAAGGCCAGGGGAGCAAACGG
rnacentral:rRNA from 1 species